AUAUACGUGAUUAAAAUUGACAGUGUCUUCUGAAGAACACCAAAGAUUUUUUUCCUCAUGGAUUUGACGACUUUUGGAUCUUUUAUAAUUUUUACCACAUUAAUAAAUUUAUUAAUUGAUUCACCAGUUCAUGGCCUUUGGUUUAAUUGCGGUCCAGAUGAACAUCUUGUAGGAACCGGAAGCUAUCCUGUAGUAAAAUGUGAAAAAUGUUCUGGCUCCAGUAGUUAUAGUGUUGGGGAAUGGAGCCCCUGUAGCGCGUCUUGUGGGAACGGCUCACAAUCCAGAUCAGUACAUUCCGUAUAUGCAUGCGGCGGCUCAAGUCAUCGUACUGAAUCGAGACCAUGUAACACACACACGUGUCCAGGUAAAGCGAAAUAAAUGUGAAAUUCAUUUCAAACUGAAUUAAUUAAAAUACUACAUGUAUAACCAGCAUGUAAAAUUGAUUGAUAAAUGAUUAAUUGCAAAUAUUUUUUUUUCACCUGGUUGUUUUUUGUCCAUGAAAAGUAAAUGGCGGUUGGAGUACCUGGGGUCAGUUCACGCCCUGUGACAAAUCCUGUGGGGCUGGGAUUCAUGUCAGAUUCAGGUCAUGUGACCAACCUUCCCCAUCAAGUGGUGGACUGCCGUGUCAUGGAAAUUCCUUAGAGACUGCCUCGUGUAACAGUCAACUAUGUCCAAUAUUGGUAACAAUCACUAACCCGACAGUAUCUGUGACGUCAACCAGUUCUCCGUCAAGAAAGCAUAUUGCUACCAGAUUAAAUUCCAAAAGACAUGCAUAAUUCCAAAAGAUUGAAUUGGCUUCCUCUGCUUUCAAACUCCAAAGAUUAUUGAACUAUUUGAAGAAUACCUCUUGAGAGCAUUGUUUUAAAUGCAAAAUACACAGUGUUCUUUAUGAGACGUACGAUUAUGUACAAAUAAAAUGUUAA
rnacentral:misc_RNA from 1 species